ensembl:lncRNA
AAAUAAAACUAGCUAUGUUUGGUUAGAGCAGUCAUCUUGAAUUGAACACUACUCCAUGCUACUCUGUCCUUAUUCAGAACUGAAACCUAUGAGCUGUGACUUCAGUCAGCUAUUGGAAGCCAGAUGAAAUUUAUUCCUUCUAUUGAUUCCCAGACGUAAGACUGAACAACUGAGAAAAAGAAGGGAGACUGAGGGUGAAGGAUAUGAUUGUCUCCUUCUGUUCCAUUCUCACAAGGCCCCAUUUGCAGCACUGCACUCAGCUUUGGGCCUCCAGCACAAGGACAGGUAGCUACUGGAGCUGGUUCAGAGCAGGAGCACAAAGAUCAUCAGAG